rnacentral:tRNA from 1 species
UGUAGCUUAGUUGGUAGAGUGCUUGCCUAGCAUGCAUAGAGUUCUGGGUUCCAACCCCAGCA